GGUGGUAUAGGGUAAAUGUGCUCGCUCCUUCUCCUUUUCACUCUGUAGCUCUUCUUGAGCAGCUAGGCCUUUACAGGAGAGUGCUCAGGAUAUAUCAGAUGCCCCCAUCAUGAUUCCAUGCAACUUUGUCUCUAUACUUUUGGCUGCACUAAAUGGCACCAUUACCUGCAUUUACUGCUGCCUCCCAGGCAUCCAACAGAUACAGAGCAGAGGAGAGAAGUGGCCCCAACUGAUACAAUCCCACCACAGGCAAAAAGCAAAAGUAGAAAUGGCAAUUCAGUUGUUUUUAUAAUUAUCAGUAUGUAAAGUGACAAUUUGUGUAACUGGAGAAAAGGUGGAUUGUGGAAUGAUUUAGCACUGUAAGAAAUAAGAUGGAGGGUAGGUCGGGAUACUGUGAGGUUCCCACAUCCUCUCUCCUAUUUCCAACAGUGCCAACCUAAGCAUCAUCUUAAUUCCAACAGUACAUCAUAUUCCUUAUAGUGACCGCCGUGCACAGUCCAUCUUAUUUAAGGUACAGACUUCCACGCAGCCUCCACAUAGGGAAAAAUAUGGCAGAGGCACUUAUGGGAAUGAGAUACAAUGUAGGUGGAGGCAUUUUGUAGAAUAAGAUAGAAGAAAGACUAGAAC